rnacentral:rRNA from 1 species
UACGUAGGGGGCAAGCGUUAUCCGGAUUUACUGGGUGUAAAGGGAGCGUAGACGGCUUUGCAAGCCAGAUGUGAAAGCCCGGGGCUCAACCCCGGGACUGCAUUUGGAACUGUGUGGCUAGAGUGUCGGAGAGGCAGGCGGAAUUCCUAGUGUAGCGGUGAAAUGCGUAGAUAUUAGGAGGAACACCAGUGGCGAAGGCGGCCUGCUGGACGAUGACUGACGUUGAGGCUCGAAAGCGUGGGAGCAAACAGG